GUAGGAUGUUAUUAUAAUGAGGUCAGGGCGAGGAUCUGACAUUUGCGACGAGGACGAAGUAGGAAUUGUGUAGUUCACCUUUAGAAGCGUUUAAUGGAGUCGAAGCAGCUGGGAUUGCAGGUUUGAAUUCGUACGAGCCGAGUGGGGAAGCGAGUGUGGUGAAUGAAUGCACGUUGGGAGGCAUGGUUAGAGGAAUUAGAUGCCUACGCAGACAGACGGAGACUGUUUGGCGAUGGGGCAACGUUGGUGCAGCUCACACGACGGCGAGCAUAGUUAUUGUACAGUUCUGGAGCUCCAGUUCAGGAGACUUUCAGGACAGAAGGCAAAGUGGAUUAUGCGAUCGAUGGCUGUUGAUGCGUUGACGAAGCACUUUUGUGGUGCGAACAAAUCUACUACAUGUCAAUGACAUGUAUUUCGCCAGACGACACAUGGAGGGCUGCAACAAUGGAGUUGAGUUGAGGAAUCAUCAGUGAUCAGGUUGUACAAAGUUGUAUAUCAAAUGGCGUGAGACACAAUUUGCUGGAGAAAGGUGACACGCUGGCAUUAAUGGAAACACCGCUUCAUUUGAAGAUGUGGAAACCCAGUUUCAGACCAGAGAUUGGAUGGUGGAAGGCACUUUAACAAGAUGACCCUCUGGCACUCGCAAGGGUCAUUCCAAAGCUGAAGAUGACUCUGAAUGUUUUAGAUGUGGGAUUUUUUGACAUUUUGGCAAGGAUUCAUGUUGUCCUGGCAAGGGUCAAACAUGCAGAAAGUAUGGAAGAAAAUACCAUUUUGCAAGAAAGUGUCGAGCCCCAGGCAAACAAAGAGAGAUCAGUUUAUGCCAUAUUGAUAAAUGUGAAUGUAAAUGUGACGAAACACAGAUGGAUGCAUGAUAUGUUAUUGCUAUCAACAAUAAGCACAGAAUGUAGUCAGUGAUGAUUGGAGGUUUGGAUCAAUUUGACCCAAGUGAGGAAACGAGUGUGGUGAGUGCACGUUGGGAGGCAUGGUUAGAGGAAUUAGAUGCCUACGCAGGCAGCCUGGGACUGUUUGUCGAUGGGGCAACGUCAGUGCAGCUCACACGCCGGUGAGCAUUGUGAUUGUAUAGUUCUGGUGCUUCAGUUCAGGACACCUCCAGAGACAGGAGGCAAAGUGGAUUAUGCGAUGGCUUUUGAUGCGUUGAAGAAGCACUAUGUGGUGCAAACAAAUACUACAUUUCAAUGUCAUGUAUUUUGCCAGACGACACGGGGGGGGGGGGGGGAAGCAAUGUUCAGUUUGUCACUAGAUUGCAUCAAUUUUCUGAGGACUGCAACUAUGGUGCUGAACUGGAGAAUCAGAAGCAGCUGGGAAUAGAGGUUUGAAACCAUCAAAAUUUAUACCAUGAUGAUGAAUGUCCAUGUGAAUGUAAAUAUGCCAAAACAUGGAUGGAUGCAGGAUAUGCUUUUGUAUUAAAAAAUAAGCACGCAAAGAUGCCGGUGAUGAUCGGAUGUGUGGAAAUAGACAUUAUAAUAGACUCUGGAAGUGAUAGCAAUGUUAUCGAUAGAGCACUGUGGGAAGUCUUAAAACUGAGCAAGAUAAAAUGCACUUUAAGGAUGUGUAAGAAGAAAUUGUAUCCUUAUACAUGUCAUCGAAAACCACUCCAGACGAUGUUUCAAGGUAAAUGUCCAAGCUGGUGACAAGCACACUUUGGCUGAAUUUGUAAUCAUUGAGGAGUAAUGAGAACCACUAAUGAGUAGAGAGAUUUCCCAAGCAUUCGGUGUGCUACACUUUGGGAUAAAUGUGAACUCACUGAAGUCAUAUGCAGACCUAAAGGGAAGCUCAGGUCAGUAUAAUUGGAAAAUUGCAUGAUCGUCAGAACAAACUUGAGAUAAACCCAGAUGUUUAGCUUGUAGCACAACCAAUGAGAAGAAUCUCAUUUGGGUGAAGCGAGAAGGUUGAGGCCAUGAUCCAAGAACUAAUUGAACAGGAUAUAAUUGAGCAUGUUGAAGAAUCAAUGCCAUAGGUCAGUCCAAUUAUAGCAGUACCAAAACCAAAUGGAGAGACAAGACUUUGCGUGGACACGAGACAAACAAAUGAGGCAAUAAUACGAGAGACACGCCAUACCUACUGUCGAUUAGGUCCUAUAAGAGCUAUCUUCAAGCAAAGUAUUUUCUAAGCUAAACCUAAAGUUGUGUUAUCAUCAGUUGGACCCAGAGUCAAGGAAAAUAACAACUUUUGACACACAUUGUGGACUCUACUGAUAUGAGGUUGUUGUUCGGAGUCAAUGGAUCACCAGAGAUUUACCAACAUGAAAUUCACAACGUAAUUGAAGGGGUUCCUGGACAGCAAAUGAUAUCAACAUUCACUGUACCACACGAGGAACAGACGCGGACAGACGCUAGCUUGGGCGAAGGCUGCAAGAUUUACAUUGAUUUUGAGAUAUAUGCCUCACUGGUCCUUAUUUAUUGCCCCAUUUUUGUCGAGUUGUUGGUCAUUGACAUUUCUCAUGAACACUUAAACUUUGUAUCAGUUCUAUACUACAGACUGCUUAAGUCAUAUGAGCCAGCAAUACCUAGUUAUACAACAAUCUACACACUACCAAAGUAAAUGGAGAAUCCUGCACACAUCAAAAUCUGCGAAGAGAAUUACAUCCUUAUCUUCCUUUCAACAAUUUAAACCUUUUAAAAUGCCAGGAACAGGCAAAUGUUUUAUUUGUCAUAAUAGCAGAAUAUAAAUGCAGUUGACAAGAAAUUAGAAAAAAAUAUAUACUGUAUUGCCUGAGUGUUAAAUUAAUACUUGCCAAAAUUGUGAAUUCAAGUUCAUGAAUUUUGUGUCACAGCAUUACACAUUUAUCAUAAUGUAAAUAUGUAAAUAAAACUAGUCUUCAAGAUAUUUAUAAUUCAA